UCAUGCUUUUUGGAGCGGCCGAUGUCUGAUUAGCUAGUUGGUAGGGUAAAGGCCUACCAAGGCGACGAUCAGUAGCUGGUCUGAGAGGACGACCAGCCACACUGGAACUGAGACACGGUCCAGACUCCUACGGGAGGCAGCAGUGGGGAAUUUUGGACAAUGGGCGCAAGCCUGAUCCAGCAAUGCCGCGUGAGUGAAGAAGGCCUUCGGGUUGUAAAGCUCUUUUGUCAGGGAAGAAACGGCUCCGGCUAAUAUCUGGAGCUAAUGACGGUACCUGAAGAAUAAGCACCGGCUAACUACGUGCCAGCAGCCGCGGUAAUACGUAGGGUGCAAGCGUUAAUCGGAAUUACUGGGCGUAAAGCGUGCGCAGGCGGUUUUGUAAGUCUGUCGUGAAAGCCCCGGGCUCAACCUGGGAAUUGCGAUGGAGACUGCAAGGCUUGAAUCUGGCAGAGGGGGGUAGAAUUCCACGUGUAGCAGUGAAAUGCGUAGAGAUGUGGAGGAACACCGAUGGCGAAGGCAGCCCCCUGGGUCAAGAUUGACGCUCAUGCACGAAAGCGUGGGGAGCAAACAGGAUUAGAUACCCUGGUAGUCCACGCCCUAAACGAUGUCUACUAGUUGUCGGGUUUUAAUUAACUUGGUAACGCAGCUAACGCGUGAAGUAGACCGCCUGGGGAGUACGGUCGCAAGAUUAAAACUCAAAGGAAUUGACGGGGACCCGCACAAGCGGUGGAUGAUGUGGAUUAAUUCGAUGCAACGCGAAAAACCUUACCUACCCUUGACAUGGAAGGAAUCCUGAAGAGAUUUGGGAGUGCCCGAAAGGGAACCUUCACACAGGUGCUGCAUGGCU
rnacentral:rRNA from 1 species